CAGAAGAAAAGAGACUCACCUGACGAAUCUCACCGGAGAGUCUAGAUCUCUUCUCUUCCACAACGAAGUUUUGGUUCGUCACCGGCAAAAUCCUUUUCUCCGACGUUAUAAUGCCGUUUAAGACGGUGAUAGAAGUGGAGCCUCCGAGUCUGUUACGGUACUUGAUCGGAGCAGCGGUGAUGAUGAUCGGCGUUGUAUUACCCGUUGGUUACAUGAUGUUCCGCAACAAACGCGUCCCCUUCUCGUCUUCGUAUUCUAAACAGACGUGGGGAAUCCAUGGUUGAUAGAUGAUCAAAAAUUAUAGUUGCUCCUCUUCGUUAAAGCUUGUUUAGGCUAAUAUUGGAAGGAACAAAGUUUUGAUAUAGGAAGCCAGAGGCUGUGGUUGAUUUCAACACUAAAUUGAGAAGGAUGAUGACAUAUUGAUGAUUUGGACGACUGUAAAAUUAUGGUGGAAUUCUUGUUUUUACAUGGCUUGUAAGAGAUCUUUCGAUAUCAAAUUCAUAAACCAUAAAAUGUGAGUUCUUUUUCUCUAAUCUUCUUGUUUAGGUUUAUUCAAAGGUCUAUUAUGUACACAACCUCUUCUCUUUGGUGGAAAGAUAUCAUUCGAUGGCUAGAGUUUUCAUUAACUACAGAUCUGUAUAAUACUGAGCUAUGCUCUUUACAUCU